rnacentral:rRNA from 1 species
GACGAACGCUGGCGGCGCGCCUAACACAUGCAAGUCGAACGAGAGAUGAGGAGCUUGCUCUUCAAAUCGAGUGGCGAACGGGUGAGUAACGCGUGAGGAACCUGCCUCAAAGAGGGGGACAACAGUUGGAAACGACUGCUAAUACCGCAUAAGCCCACGGCUCGGCAUCGAGCAGAGGGAAAAGGAGCAAUCCGCUUUGAGAUGGCCUCGCGUCCGAUUAGCUAGUUGGUGAGGUAACGGCCCACCAAGGCGACGAUCGGUAGCCGGACUGAGAGGUUGAACGGCCACAUUGGGACUGAGACACGGCCCAGACUCCUACGGGAGGCAGCAGUGGGGAAUAUUGCACAAUGGGGGAAACCCUGAUGCAGCGACGCCGCGUGGAGGAAGAAGGUCUUCGGGAUUGUAAAACUCCUGUUGUUGAGGAAGAUAAAUGACGGUACUCAACAAGGAAGUGACGGCUAACUACGUGCCAGCAACCG